rnacentral:rRNA from 1 species
GACAGGUGCUGCAUGGCUGUCGUCAGCUCGUGUUGUGAAAUGUUGGGUUAAGUCCCGCAACGAGCGCAACCCUUAUCCUUUGUUGCCAGCGAUUCGGUCGGGAACUCAAAGGAGACUGCCGGUGAUAAACCGGAGGAAGGUGGGGAUGACGUCAAGUCAUCAUGGCCCUUACGAGUAGGGCUACACACGUGCUACAAUGGCGCAUACAAAGAGAAGCGACCUCGCGAGAGCAAGCGGACCUCACAAAGUGCGUCGUAGUCCGGAUCGGAGUCUGCAACUCGACUCCGUGAAGUCGGAAUCGCUAGUAAUCGUGGAUCAGAAUGCCACGGUGAAUACGUUC